GUGACGCUCGUUUACCAGUGGUAUGCACAGGUUGGAUGCUAAAUUUAAGAAAAUUGGAAAGACAUGACAGUGUACACUGGUGGACCUGCAGCAUAAACAGUCACUCACUGAGCUGCAUUCAGAGACGAAUCCUACUGCAACUGAGGACUAACCCAGAGCUUCCAUCACAUUCCCAUCCCAGUUCAUCAAAUACCGCUGCUCUUAGUGGACCUACAUGUCAAAAUAUAAUGUGUGAGGCUUGCAGAAAGUCAUGAAGCUCUCGAGGAUCUUCCUAAGGAGGACACCAUUUCUGGCACUGCAGUCGAUGGAGGCUAACCAACGAGGAAGAGAAUUCACUCUGCUCUGCUGGUGCGUGAGGUUAUCCAGUUCAAUCCCAUCAAUGGUCAAAGCCCCCCCAUCGACUGAGACGGAAAGGAUGAAAUCAUUUGGAAUCCAUGGCGAUGCUUCACCAAGG